rnacentral:lncRNA from 1 species
CCUAUGUCAUAUCGUCCCGUGUGUUAGUUAUCACAGUGCAAUGGGCUGGAAAUAAUAACAGCAUAUUACUUUCAGACGAUAGAUUGUGUUUACAUACAUUACAUCACAAAAGCUUUGAGUGAGCCCAAUGGAGUAGCACUGGUGACCCAUGCCAUAUAGGUGAAGAGAUGAGGUUCUGUAAAUUUAGAUGAUUUCCCAAGAUUAUGAAAUGAGUAACAACUUACUGAUAAAGCUGUGAAGAGUAAAUAAGUUGAAUGUAUGUAAAACUCUAGAGUGUAGGAAAUAUGGUAUAGCGAUAGUUACUUCGCUGGGAUGCUGUGCGACCUUACCUCUGAGAACUGCAUCAACAAGGAAUGGAAAACAUGGUGAGAGGAAGCUUUAAGAGAGAAAGGAAGCCUGAAUAUGAAAGACAAGAGUUCUACGAAGACAAAGCAAACUUCAACACGCCACACCCUGGAGAUUUGAUGUACUGAAGGUUCUGAACUCUGGCAUUCAGUUACCACUGGACCACGGACUGUGUCGCACUGCAGUGAUUCAUCCACUGUCUGCCUUCUCCGCAUUCUGGGCUGCUUGAGGGCAGGAACAAACCCACCCGUUAGCGUAUCUCCAACCUCAUAAAGUCUCUGGACAGUCAUAUGGAAUCAGUCAGUGUGAGUUGAGGAAGUCAAUGAGUACUCGAGAAGGUUAAAUUCAAAAUACCUAACAGGGAAAUAUGACCCAAAAAUAAAAAUAAUUAUUCCAUGAAAUUCUAUUUCUAG